rnacentral:piRNA from 1 species
UUGCAAUAUCUUCUCCAACCA